rnacentral:rRNA from 1 species
CAGUCGCCGCGGGAAUACGUAGGGUGCAAGCGUUAAUCGGAAUUACUGGGCGUAAAGCGUGCGCAGGCGGUUAUAUAAGUCAGAUGUGAAAUCCCCGGGCUCAACCUGGGAACUGCAUUUGAGACUGUAUGGCUAGAGUGUGUCAGAGGGGGGUAGAAUUCCACGUGUAGCAGUGAAAUGCGUAGAUAUGUGGAGGAAUACCGAUGGCGAAGGCAGCCCCCUGGGAUAACACUGACGCUCAUGCACGAAAGCGUGGGGAGCAAACAGGAUUAGAUACCCCUGUAGUCCCUGUCUCUUAUAA